GUGCUUGCUUCAGCAGUAUAUAUACUAAAAUUGGAACAAUACAGAGAAUGUUAGCAUGGCUCCUGCAAGAAAGAAAAGAAAGAGAAGAGAAGAGAAGAGAAGAGAA
rnacentral:snRNA from 1 species